rnacentral:rRNA from 1 species
GGUCUGUGAUGCCCUUAGGAUGUUCUGGGCCGCACGCGCGCUACACUGAAUGAAGUCAACGAGUGAAUUUUCCUUUAUGCGAAAGAUAUGGGUAAAUCUUUUGAAACUUCGAUCGUGCUGGGGAUAAGUAGCAUUGCAAUGUAUUGCUCUUCAACCGAGGAAUCCCUAGUAAAGCACAAGUGCAUCAGACUAGUUGAUUGGAUU